rnacentral:tRNA from 1 species
GGCAGUGUUGCCUAGUGGAAAGAGCACAGGCCUGGAAGUCAGAGGAUCUGGGUUCUAAUCUCAGCUCUUCCA